CUCUGAUCAGUUGGGUUCCGGAGUUGAAACCUUGCAGGAUUUUGUUAGAAUUUACGUUAAGAAAAGGCGAAUUGAAUGGUAGAUUCAAAGAGGAGGUUAAUGCUUCAGCCAUUAGUCUUGUAAAUGGUUGGUAAAUGGUUUAUCAAUCAGAUUGGAACGUACAGGGUAAAAAAGGGCAUUUUAUCACGAGCUUCUGGAAGUGUGUCUUCAAUUUUCUCUUCAAUAAAGUGCCAGGAGGAAGAGUGGCUAGCAAGUCAGAAACGGUUACUUUGAAUGGCCCUACUUCCAGUACGGAAUCGCGUAUACCAGUGUUGACUUGCAAGGUCUUAACUCUCGUCUCUGCGUCACACAACUGUACUUCUGACUCUCCUAGCUGAGAAGGCCUGUAUAUACACCACAACAGUAGAUCAAAAGAAUAGUCUAAAAGGACUCUGUCGAAGAGGAAGGCCAUUUUCAAUAGAGGAACUUUGACGGAGAUCCUUUAGCAGAG